UUGGCUGAGCAGCAGGGAAAACACCCCCUCCCCUCCCAGAACCGUUUUAAGGGGGAAGGCAUGUGUCAGAGUACUCACGGUGCUCUGCCACUUUAAGAACUGGGCCAGGCAGCAGACAGGUGCAGCCCAGUCUUGACGAGCAGCCAUCUUAAGACCCAGGCCAACAGGACUAGAGGAAGCAGUUGCUACCUGGAGUUGAGGAAGGAACAUUUCCUGGCGGAGCUGCUGCUCCGGAGACAGCACAGAGCAGAGAUUGCUCCAACAACUCCAAAUCCUGUAUGUGCCAUAUCAUGACUUUACACCUACUGGAAUGCUGAUGGACCAUGAAGCUGUUCCAUAGUGACUUAGGUAAUGUGGUAUCCCCUAACGCAGUGAGGAACAACCUUUUUGGCAGCAAUGACAGCUGGAGACAAUUAUCCUUUCUGAAAGGAGAAAAUCUCAGUGAGCUGGCUGGAAAGAAACAAGAGCUUUCAGGAGUCUUUGGGAACAAACAUGACACAUCUGUGCUCACUUUCCCUAUCGUGACUGCAAACAGGGUAACUUGUUAGUCCAGCUGCAUUACCCAAGACACAGGGAUAAAGACGGUUCUUCUGAAGGAGCUUUAUUUGCACAGACUGCCAAAUGAUUGAUUCAACGUAUGGCGCAGCGUCAGUUUAUUUUGGAUGAGAUAUGCACUAGCACAUGGCUCCUUGCACCAGAACCAAAGGAUCCUGGUACACCUAAAUAUCAAGCUGCUUUGUUAGUUAAGAUUAAAACAAAAGCCUGAAGCCACCAUCUGGUAAAAUAGAUAUCCAAGCACUUGUCUUCUAGCCUCUACACACUUUACACAAAGCUCCAUUGUAACCAGAAGUGAGAGAGGCAGAACAGAAUUUUAAACUGACACCUCCAGAGAGGAAAAUAUUGAGAUCUUCACUGUCAUUCCUGCAAAGAGUAAAAUUCAAAUCAACUCUACCCCCUGACUGACUCUCUGUGGGUUUACAAUAACAUUGUGCUAUUUUCACUUCAUAGUGGAGCCACUUAGGCAAGGCAACUGCACUGGAGGUCAUCAAGAGUGCAGGGAUUAAAUAUUAAUGAAUAAACUCUUUUUUCAAUACCAUACAUGCAACGCUGAUUGGCUUCUUUAGGAGUUCCAUUACUGACUGAGGAAAGUAUGUGACUGCUGAAGGCUUUGUGGAGCACAGAAUCUGGCA